AACCUUUACACUGCACGACAGUGCGAUAAGGGAAUCCCAAGUGCGUAGGCAUAGAGCCUACGCUUUUGUCCACCGUAGGGAGGUGGACGAAUAAGGGCUGGGCAAGACCGGUGCCAGCCGCCGCGGUAAUACCGGCAGCCCGAGUGAUGGCCGAUCUUAUUGGGCCUAAAGCGUCCGUAGCUGGCCGCACAAGUCCAUCGGAAAAUCCACCCGCUCAACGGGUGGGCGUCCGGUGGAAACUGUGUGGCUUGGGACCGGAAGGCGCGACGGGUACGUCCGGGGUAGGAGUGAAAUCCCGUAAUCCUGGACGGACCGCCGAUGGCGAAAGCACGUCGCGAGAACGGAUCCGACAGUGAGGGACGAAAGCUAGGGUCUCGAACCGGAUUAGAUACCCGGGUAGUCCUAGCCGUAAACGAUGCUCGCUAGGUGUGGCGCAGGCUACGAGCCUGCGCUGUGCCGUAGGGAAGCCGUGAAGCGAGCCGCCUGGGAAGUACGUCUGCAAGGAUGAAACUUAA
rnacentral:rRNA from 1 species